rnacentral:rRNA from 1 species
AGAGUUUGAUCCUGGCUCAGAACGAACGCUGGCGGCGCGCCUAAUACAUGCAAGUCGAGCGAGAAGGUGUAGCAAUACACUUGUAAAGCGGCGAACGGGUGAGGAAUGCAUGGGUAACCUACCCUCGAGUGGGGAAUAACUAGCCGAAAGGUUAGCUAAUACCGCAUACGCUUCAGGGACUUCGGUUUCGGAAGGAAAGCAAUACCGUGGGUAUUGCGCUCAUGGAUGGGCUCAUGUCCUAUCAGCUUGUUGGUGAGGUAACGGCUCACCAAGGCUUCGACGGGUAGCUGGUCUGAGAGGACGAUCAGCCACACUGGCACUGCGACACGGGCCAGACUCCUACGGGAGGCAGCAGUAAGGAAUAUUGCGCAAUGGACGAAAGUCUGACGCAGCGACGCCGCGUGGGGGAUGAAGGUCUUCGGAUUGUAAACCCCUUUCGGGAGGGAAGAUGGAGUGGGUAACCACUUGGACGGUACCUCCAGAAGCAGCCACGGCUAACUUCGUGCCAGCAGCCGCGGUAAUACGAAGGUGGCAAGCGUUGUUCGGAUUCACUGGGCGUACAGGGAGCGUAGGCGGUUAGGUAAGCCCUCCGUGAAAUCUCCGGGCCUAACCCGGAAAGUGCAGAGGGGACUGCUUGGCUAGAGGAUGGGAGAGGAGCGCGGAAUUCCCGGUGUAGCGGUGAAAUGCGUAGAGAUCGGGAGGAAGGCCGGUGGCGAAGGCGGCGCUCUGGAACAUUACUGACGCUGAGGCUCGAAAGCGUGGGGAGCAAACAGGAUUAGAUACCCUGGUAGUCCACGCCU